AAGUCGUAACAAGGUUUCCGUAGGUGAACCUGCGGAAGGAUCAUUAACACGUAUCCAAACGUUAAACCCCCCUGUGAACCUUCAGUGUACUCGUACGUCCGUUAGAAAAAGCAGCAAUCCCUGGUAAAUCAUCGCCGAACAGUUUUCGAUUCAGGGACGUCUGCAAGGAGCGUGCAUGUUGUGUGAAAGUGUCAUUAACUGUGUAAGGAUGACGCAGUCACGAUCGUUGGAGGCCCACACGGCCGACGACCGGGUCACUGGGCGCAAGCCCCCCUAUAACAAACGCUGCUAAUCGCGGCCGCGAUAAUACGCAGUCGACCAAAAACCGAACAACUGUUAACAAUGGAUAUCUUGGUUCUC
rnacentral:misc_RNA from 1 species